UUCGAGCUCGAGGAAAAACUUUCUGAAGAGUAAAAACUUUGUUGAAUCUUCAACAAAAGGUGGAUGAAUUAGCAUCCAAGGUACUAAAUGAGAUGGUAAAAAAAGGAUGAUAACUAAGCCUCACAAGUUCCACUGCAUUAGAGCUCAAACUUCAGGGAUCUUUAAUUGCAAGUACUUAUCCUUCUGGUGGAGUGUCCUCCUAUAAAGCAAAGGCCUACAGAAAAAAAUCGACACUAUUUGAGCUUACUUGAUCAGUGAAAGACCAAGAUUUUCAUAAGCAACUAUAUACCACAGAAGAAUGUUAAACAUACAAAGAGUUUGCCAAGAUUGAUUUACCGUCACAAAUAUUAAUAAUAAGCCCAACAGAUAAUGUACUUUUAUAUGAGGGAAUACUUUUUUCUGGGGAGUCCAAGUGAAGUCAAGUAGUUCUAGUGCAGUUCUAUUACCACCGCUACCGCCGCCACACUCAAUGUCUUCGGAUGAGGGCUAUGAUGAUGAGGAUGAAGAUGACACUGAAGAAUAUAGCUGAUAGUUUUAGUAUGGUUGAACAAUAUACUAGGAAUUAUAGUUAAUGAUCAAUACAUUUUGUUUAUGUUUUGAAUUAUAUUGACUUGC